rnacentral:lncRNA from 1 species
AAAAAAUAGUCACGCCACAGACCGGCGUCUAUUUUCAUAGAAUUGCAUUUCAAUCUAAAGCCCCGUAGGGUGACAUCCUGGAUAAGAGAGCUAAUAGCCAGGUUAAUGGGAGUAUCCUCAUUGGAGAAAACUUUCACGUUUCUGGAUUUCCAUAUCCUCCAAAGGAUGACGAUGAGGAUUGAUGGCCACAUGACCUGUGGUAAGCCUAGAGGGGGUGAAAGAAACCAUAGUUCUUCAAACAACAAGUUACUUGGAUCAAUAUGAAGUGCAUUCCAAAGCUAAGCCGCCAUGGGGCAUGAGAAGAAUAGGUGAUCACAGUCUUCUGGGAGAGCGGAGCAUCUUGCACAAAGGGCGGAUAGAAUUAGUGUCUUGUGCAACAGAUUUGAUCUUGUAUUUAGCCGGUUCUUGAAUAAAAGCCACGCGAAGAUAUUUUUAUUUUUGAAGAAAAGGACGGUCGUUUUCGUCAUUCGAUUAAAGAGGAGAACUGUACAGGGUGGGGAUCAGAGAGUGAACCCCAACAGAGAAAAAACAAAAAAGAAGAAAAAAGGCCAGGAGAGCUAAUCUCCCGGGUCCGCUGAACACGCCCUGAUUCUCACACGGCAAUCCUCCCAAACAAGGUGGGCGACCUGAAGGGCCGUCGUCGCGGUCCCCCUGAUGGUUCUUAUAUUGCGUUCCUUCCAGAUCCCCCACCAAGCGUAGAUGAGUCGGCCGUGGAGCUCUCUUCUAGCGCGUUUGGGGAGCCCAAUGGAGAUGCAGGCGAAGAUAUUGCAUUUUGCAUUUGUUGGGAACAUGAGUGUGCCAAAUCCAUUUUGCAUUUUCAUCCUCGGGUGCAACCAUCACAGCCAAGUAAGCACUGGCAGUAGAGAGGGGUGAACCAUCUUUGAGUAGCCUG